rnacentral:rRNA from 1 species
CCUACGGGGGGCAGCAGUAGGGAAUAUUGCUCAAUGGGGGAAACCCUGAAGCAGCAACGCCGCGUGGAGGAUGAAGGUUUUCGGAUUGUAAACUCCUUUUGUUAGAGAAGAUAAUGACGGUAUCUAACGAAUAAGCACCGGCUAACUCCGUGCCAGCAGCCGCGGUAAUACGGAGGGUGCAAGCGUUACUCGGAAUCACUGGGCGUAAAGAGCGCGUAGGCGGGAUAGCAAGUCAGAUGUGAAAUCCUAGGGCUUAACCAUAGAACUGCAUUUGAAACUGUUAUUCUAGAGUAUGUGAGAGGUAGGUGGAAUUCUUGGUGUAGGGGUGAAAUCCGUAGAUAUCAAGAGGAAUACUCAUUGCGAAGGCGACCUGCUAGAACAUAACUGACGCUGAUGCGCGAAAGCGUGGGGAGCAAACAGGAUUAGAUACCCUUGUAGUC